GAUGAACGCUGACAGAAUGCUUAACACAUGCAAGUCUUUGGCGAAGCUGUGCUUGCACAGCCUAGCCAAGGCGGACGGGUGAGUAACGCGUAAGGAACUUGCCCUGCAGUCAGGGAUAACAGACGGAAACGACUGAUAAGACCUGGUAAAGUCAGGCGGACUCAUGUCCAGCCUGCUGAAAAGAGAUGCUGCAGGAGAGCCUUGCGUCCUAUUAGCUUGUUGGUGGGGUAACGGCCCACCAAGGCGAUGAUAGGUAGCCGGCCUGAGAGGGUGGACGGCCACAAGGGGACUGAGAUACGGCCCUUACUCCUACGGGAGGCAGCAGUGGGGAAUAUUGGACAAUGGGGGCAACCCUGAUCCAGCAAUUCUGUGUGAACGAUGAAGGUUUUCGGAUUGUAAAGUGCUUUCAGCAGGGAAGAAAAAAAUGACGGUACCUGCAGAAGAAGCGACGGCUAAAUACGUG
rnacentral:rRNA from 1 species